rnacentral:tRNA from 1 species
AGGUUAAGGUCCUAGCUUAAUUAAAGCAUCUGGGUUGCAUUCAGGGAAUGCAGGUUAAUAUCCUGCGGAUCUUA